rnacentral:rRNA from 1 species
GACGAACGCUGGCGGCGUGCCUAAUACAUGCAAGUAGAACGCACAGUUUAUACCGUAGCUUGCUACACCAUAGACUGUGAGUUGCGAACGGGUGAGUAACGCGUAGGUAACCUGCCUGGUAGCGGGGGAUAACUAUUGGAAACGAUAGCUAAUCCCGCAUAAUAUUAAUUAUUGCAUGAUAAUUAAUUGAAAGGUGCAAUUGCACCACUACCAGAUGGACCUGCGUUGUAUUAGCUAGUAGGUGAGGUAACGGCUCACCUAGGCGACGAUACAUAGCCGACCUGAGAGGGUGAUCGGCCACACUGGGACUGAGACACGGCCCAGACUCCUACGGGAGGCAGCAGUAGGGAAUCUUCGGCAAUGGACGAAAGUCUGACCGAGCAACGCCGCGUGAGUGAAGAAGGUUUUCGGAUCGUAAAGCUCUGUUGUAAGAGAAGAACGGGUGUGAGAGUGGAAAGUUCACACUGUGACGGUAUCUUACCAGAAAGGGACGGCUAACUACGUG